AUGGCGUCGCCAAACAGCAGGCAGCAGCAGCAGCACUGGCCGAGCAUGUUCCGCUCCAAGCACGGCAGCCAGGUGUGGCAGUCGCAGCCCGACAUGACCAGCUCGCCCCCCUCCCUCGUCUCCGGCUCCACCGCCGCCGCCGGCCACUCCUUCAAGUCCCCCUUCUCCUCAGGUCCUGAUCAGGAGAGAAACACCGACACGAAGCCGCGGUGGAACCCCCGGCCGGAGCAGAUCCGGAUCCUGGAGACGCUCUUCAACUCCGGCUUGAUCAACCCGACGCGCGACGAGAUCCCCCGCAUCCGCAUGCGCCUGCAGGAGUAUGGCCCGGUCGGCGACUCCAACGUCUUCUACUGGUUCCAGAACCGCAAGUCCCGCUCCAAGAACAAGCUGCGCAACGCGGCCGCGCGUGUCGCUCCCGUCCGGGCCUGCGCCCCGGCACGCCAGCAGGCCGCCGCGCCGUAUACGCCACCUCCCAAGCAGUUCCAUCCGCCGAAGCCGCCGCUCUUCUCGCCGGUGGCUCCCACGUCUUCCUCCUCUUCCUCCUCCGACCGCUCGUCCGGAUCCAGCAAACCGGUGAAGCCGGCUGCCACGCAAGCGAUGUCCGCGACGGCGGCCAUGGAUCUGCUCUCGCCGCUUGCCGCGGCGUGCCACCAGCAGAUGCACUACCAGUUCGGCCUGAGCCAGCACGCCGUGUCUGCUUCGGCUCCGGCUCCGGCUCCUGCGCCAACGUUGGACGAGUUCGUGGCCACCGACGUCGAGCCGAUCUUCCUGCAGUACCCACAAGGGCACUGCCUGUCUGCGGGGGAGCUCGCCACCAUCCUGGGCGCGCAGUACAUGCCCGUGCCGGCCGUGCAGCAGCCACCGGUGGCAUCGCCCGCCGGCAUGCUCUUGGGGCUCUGCAACGACGUGGCAUUAGGUCCCACCAGCACUGGCCACAGGAGCAGCGCCUCGGCCGCCGGGCUUGGUCAAUACUGGUCAAGCGGCGUUGAUCAGCUCGGCCUCCGCAAGAACAGCGACCCCUUCUUGAACACCUCCGUUGCCAAAGAAGAGGCGUAUGAGGACUUCACGAAGACGAAGCUUGGACUGGUACAAUACGGCUUAGGCGUCACUGCAGCGCCUGCUACCUCUGCGGCUGCUGUUUUGCCUCCUGCUGCUUCGCCGGAUUCCGCCGCCGUCACCGUUGCAAGUGCGUCUGCUACUGCCGAGCUGACCAGUUUAUUUGCAACCACUGCCACCACUGAUGCUAUCAGCUACAAUAGUAACUUGCAAGGACCAGCGGAUGAUGUUGGGUUCGCGGGCGCAGCGGCAGCGGCAGGGGCAGGGGCCACGGGCGUGUUGGGCAGGGGCGCCGCGGUGGUGUGCUUCGCGGGCACCAGCGCCGCGUGCAGCGUCCCGGCCACGCACCUCGACGUCAAGCUCUACUUCGGGGACGGGGCCGUCCUGUUCCGCUGCAACGGCGACCGCGCCGAGCCGCUCGUCGUCGACGACGCCGGCCUCACCGUCGAGCCGCUCCAGCACGGCGGGGUCUACUACUGCGUGCUCAUAUAG
rnacentral:rRNA from 1 species